CUUUACACCGAACUCACGUGAUAAGAUAGUCAUCAAUCAAUACGAAAAUGACUGGUUGUGUUGCAAUCAACUGCGUGAAUCGAUCGGAAUCCAAGAUAUCCCUUUACAGCCCCCCGCUCCGACAGAAGGAAAGGCUCCGCCAGUGGUUGAAAAACAUUAACCGCAUGUCGUGGGUACCAAAUGUGUGUAGCAGAUUAUGUGCCUGCCAUUUCACAGAGGACUGCUUCACCAUCAAUCGCAGACUCAAGCCAGAUGCGGUACCCACCCUUUUCGGCAGCCCUGGAGCACCCAUCUAAGGUAAGGGCAGAGGUAAGUAAUGUGAAUCAAGUCUUUUUAGAUGUUGAAGGUGUUGUUGAUGAAGCUGAUGAGGUACAGGUGAAUGUUUCGGAAGCCACAGAGGUUGCAGGUAUUGUUGAUGAAGCUGUUAAGGUAAAGGUUAAUGUUUCUGAAGCCACAACAUCAAACAGUGCUGACAAUUAUAAUGCAGUGAAGAAAUCUCAUAUAUCUUUCAAAAGGCAGGCUCAAAAUAAACUUGGAUCUAUUAGAAAAAAGAUUGUUAGAUUGGUGUAGCAGACGAGUAGGACUUUUAAGAUAAAAGUUUCCUGCUUAACUCAGGUCAUCACUUCUCUCAAGGAGAAACUUCUAAUUUCUAGUGCCUGUGCAGAGAUGCUGGAGAACACCUUCCGUGGAGUCCAUAAGACCUUGCUCUCCAGAAGGGUGCUUGAUAAAGGUCAAAAGUGUCGGAGGAGUUGCGUUCAUUUGCGAUGACUCUGCACUUCUAUUCCGCCAAAGCUUAUAGAUAUGUGUGUAAAGUGUUUGACCUUGUACUUCCCCAUCUCGACACCAUCCGGAGGUGGUACAGACAAAUUUCUGCGGAUCCCGGUUUUACAAAGCCUGCAUUUUGUAUGCAUUCACAUGUGCAGAACAGAAAAGUUGCAGGAAAGGAGACCCUUUGUGCUCUCAUGUUGGAUGAAGUGGACAUUCGAAAGCACGUGGAAUAUGCAGCUGGAAGAUUCCAUGGUUAUGUGGACCUUGGCCGUGGCACUGUUGAAGGCAUGGUUGUAGCCAUCAACGACUCCUGGAAAAUCCCUGUUGCCUAUUUCCAUUGACAAAAUGACUGAAGAGUGUGCCAACAUCAUCAGUGAAUGCCUUCAUCGACUCCAUGCCACCAGAGUUCGUACAGUCUCUUUGACUAGCGAUGGGCCAUCAUGCCACUUUUCCAUGCUGAGAGCCCUGGGAGCAACAUUGGAUGUCAAUAAGAUGAGAUCCUCUUUUGCACAUCCUGCUGAUCAUCACAAUUGGUCCAUGUGCUGCUGGAUGUUUGCCAUAUGUUGAAGCUGCUCAGAAACGCAUUGGCUGAAGGAGGUUUACUCUGAACUCCAAAUGGAGAAAUCCGUUGGAAAUGCAUUGAGGAGUUGAAUAAACUUGAAGAGAUGGAGGGAUUACGACUUGGAAACAAGUUAAAAAUGGCUCAUGUAUGGUGGGAGAAACAGAAGAUGAAGGUGAAGCAUGCAGCUCAGGUGUUCAGCAGCAGUGUAGCAGAUUCUCUUGAGUACUGUAACACACAGUUGCAUCUUCCACAAUUCAGCAG
ensembl:lncRNA